GUAUUAUUCUUGGAGACUUGUGUUUGGGGCCAACCAACUCUCAGACAUGGGGGCACACGUUCAGAUCCGAACUAUAAAAGAGAAGAUUGAACAUGAGAAUUAUGACCCUGAUACCGAAAGCAAUGACAUCGCUUUGGUCAGGCUGAAUCAGACCAUCAUAUUUGACAAAUUCACUUAGCCUGCCUGCCUUCCUGCCAAACAAGCGAUUCUGAGCAAAUUGGAUGAUUGCUACGUUGCAGGCUGGGGUGUCAUUAAAGAACAAUCCACUGAAACAUCGGACAUUCUUCAUGAAGCCCCGGUAACCAUUAUUCCAGUUCACCAUUGCAACCGCCCAACCUGGUACAACGGAGCAGUGGGUGACUACAACCUGUGUGCUGGAUUUGAGCAGGGAGGUAAAGAUAGUUGCCAGGGUUACGGCGGAGGACCUUUGAUGUGCAAAAGGAGCAAAGCUAAGUUCUACACUGUGAUCGGCAUAACCAGCUGGGGCUCCAGCUGUCGCCAGAAUCAAAUCCUUGGAGUUUUUACUUCAACCCAGUAUUAUGACGAGUGGAUCAAUGGACACGACUUCGAGAAUCCCCAAAAGACAGCUGCGAAGAAAUACUUCUGGCAAAUGGCUGAAUUCUUCUACAAAUUCGUUGAGAAGGUUUUUCAGCGCUCCUGAAUAAGAAAGAACUGAGCCAUCUCUAUGCAAGAGAGAACUGCAUAGCACAUCAGCAAUUAGUUAUAUGUAUAGGCUAAUAGAUUAAUAAAUAGGAAUGCAUCAAUAA